AAAAAAACGAUCCUGAUUUUAAUUAGUUAAUAAUUUACAAGUUAAUUAUCUUUGAUCUUGGGCUAAUUCUUGCAUAAUCAAUGCAAUCAUAUGACAGUUUCUCAAGUUAAAUCUUCUACCCUGACAGCCUGAGGCAUGUUAAUUAGCCAGGUGGCUGUGUGCUUGCGUUCAAGCGUGAAGUGAUUUCCUGUCGUGAAUUCACACUUGGUUGCGUUAUGUAAACAAGAGAUUAUCAGUAUGCACUGAAUAAACAGAACAGCUAAGGAAUAUUACCUACACUGGGAAUAUUUAUUAAUUUUUUGUUUGGAAAAAAGGACAUGGCGCCGAGAAAAGGGGGCAUGGCUCUGUGCCUUGCUAUUUUGCUUUAGAUUUAACACUAAAUUGAUCCCUCUUCUUGAACUUUAUGGUCUAUUUUACAGGUCAACUUGUAUAAUUAAAAAAACAAAAACAAAACAAUAGACUGACCAGAAAUCUUUCUCAUCUGUAAUCGGAAAAUUUCUUAAAAACAAAAAUAACGAUUAUAAGAAAUGAUUCCUAAUAAUUAUUCUAGUAAUGAUCAAGGGUUUAUUAAAUUGAUUCCAUAUUAUUUAUUAGACUUCGUACAUAAAUACAUUUCCUUAGACUGUUAAAAAUAUUUUAUAUUUAAAAAUCGGCAAUCUUCGUAAAUAAGGAGCUAUUUGAUUGGUCAGAUUUUAAAAUUUUUCUUUGCUUUUCUCUGAUUGGUUAACGGUAAUUUACCCACGCCAUUUUGAAAAAUAGAUCGACGAACCGAAUUGAGAGAGUUGGUGAUGUUUAAUAAAAUUUAGCUAAUAUUCGCCGAUGAAAUUGGUAGAAAAUAGAUGUUUAGCUACAGCAUGUUAGCAUGGAUCACAUUUAUAAACAAAGAAAAGCGAAAACGGAAGGAGGUUGGCGUUUUUCAAGCAUCAUGCCCUGGCUUUCCUGGUGUAAACAACGCCAUAUGCGUUUGAGUGCCUCCGCAGAGCCAUAGAAGAAAAGCUGAUUAGUUAUAGAGGAAUAGGACACCCACCCUACCCCUUGAAGCAUUACAGAUUAUGCAGGACCAAGCAGGAUGACAGUGAGAAAACUGGAGAUGUACUUCUUCAACAAAGUAAAGUGCUGUGCAAAAGAAACCCCAAAGCAGAGAGAAGAUCUAGACUUCUGAAUUCAUAUCUCAUUAUAAAUGUACAAAUUACAAAGACAAUAAGAUUGAUAAAACAUGACUUAGAAAUGAGGACAAUUGAAGAGUGAAUACUGUAUGUAAGACAGAAAAGAUCAAGAUUAUUGCACAAAAAGUAACUAAAUCAGUAAUCUAAAACCAUUUCUCUUUAAAAUC